AGCAGAAUCAUUGAGUGGUAUGGACAAGCAUCUUUCCUUCCUGCUUCCAGGCCCACUGUAGACAGUGUGCAGUUUGAAAGCUGGCAGACAGUAUUACGAAGUGUGCAGAAAAAUCCCAUAACUAUGCUGCAACUCCAGGGUAAAAAAUUAUCCUCCCAACAUACCACUCCUAAAAUACCAAAAGGAAGAAGGCCUUCGCAAGAUGCCAGCAACCUGCUCAUGAACUUCCCAGGCACCAGAAGUGUAAGUCAAUAAAUUUCUGUUUAAUAUAAAUUAUUCAGUCUCAGCCAUUCUGUUACAGUAGCAUAAAGUGUAUUAAGACAUAAGUUAAUACUAGAGAAGUGGGGCGUUUCUGUAUCAAAUACGUGAAAAUGUAAUAGUGGCUUUGGAACCGGAUUAUGGGUAGAGGCUGGAAGAAUUUGAAGGAGCAGAGUAGAAAAAGCCUUCAUUGCUGAGAAUGGAGGAUUAAGAGUAAUUUUGUUGAGGACUAAUAAGGGGAGAGCUAUAAAGAAAGUCUGAAAAGCCUUAGAAAUAGCUCAAUUGGUCAUGAAUAAAAUAUUGGCAGAAAUAUGAACAUUAAAGGGCAUUCUGAUGAGGGCUCAGGUGGAAAGGAAGAUUGAGGUUUUAAAAACUGAAGUAAAGACCACCAUAGUUAUAAAGCAGCAAAGAUAAGACCACUCUUGUUAUAAAUCAGCAAAGAACGUGGCUGAAUUGUGUCCAUGCCCUAGGGCUUUAUGGAUGGCUUUAAGAGUGAUGAAGUAGGAUAUGCGGCAGAGGAAAUUUGUAAACAGAAAAAAUAUUGAGAGACUUGUGGCUUUUGUGGCUUUUGCUUUUUUUUUUUUUUUUUUUUUUUAAUGGAGUUUUGCUCUUUUUGUCCAGGCUGGAGUGCAAUGGUGCGAUCUCAGCCCACUGCAACCUCUGCCUUCUGGGUUCAAGUGAUUCUCCUCACAGAGCCUCAGCCUCCGUGGUAGCUGGGAUUACAGGUGUGCACCACCAAGCCUGGCUUAAUUUUUGUGUUUUUAGUAGAGAAGGCAUUUCACCAUGUUGGCCAGGCUGGCCUUGAACUCCUGACCUCAAAUGAUCCCCCCACCUCGGCCUCCCAAACUGCUGGGAUUACAGGUGUGAGCCACCUGUGUGGCUUAACUGCAUAUAGUAAAAUCCAAAAACAGAGAAGUGAUUUAAAGACAGAAUUUAUAAUCAAAAGGAAGCAGAUGAAGAGAUUUGAGAAAUUCCCAGCCUAGGUGUGUAAAGAAUGAAAAGGCACACUUAGUAGAGAAAACCAAAGGUGCGUCCCAGUUACCCUUAGAUAAACAGGUUAGUGUGAAUAGAAGGAAACCAGGUGCUAUUCAUCAACACAAUGAGCGAAUGACCCCAGUGGCAUUUCAGAAAUCCAUUUGAGGUUUCCACUCCCAUCACAGGCCCGGAAUGCUAGAACACUGGGGGCAUACAGGUUUUGAGGAAGAGACCCAGGGCAGCUAUAGAACCUAUGGGCUUUCUGUCCAGGGCUGCCUCAGGCCUUUGCUCCCUGCAUUCUGGUGCUGCACUGCUUGGCCUUCCUGGCUGUGGUUCAAGCAUGCCCAGGAACAUAUGUAGCUGCCACACAGAAGCUACAAGCUUAUACAUAAAUAAAACUCAGUUGUGUCCACAUGUUGCUAAUUCUCAAGUUUGCAGAAUAUAGGAGCUGUGGAGGCAUGGCUGUCUCCACUUAGAUUUCUAAGGAUGCUGCAGAGACCUACCACAGGGAUUGAGCUACCACAAUCCUACUAGGUCAAUGUCAGGUGGAGCUAUGUGGUCAGGGCUGCUCCAAAGAUACCAGUACUCUAGAACCACCACCAUGGGACACAACUCUAGGAAAGCUGCAACCACAAGACUCCAAUCUAAGAGCUGAUGCAUGGGUUGAGCUCAGCAAAGUCAUAGAGACAGGGCUGCCUGAGGCCUUGAGGCCUAAUUCCCACCCCAGUGUGUCUGGAAGGUGGGUCAUGGAGUCAAUGAAGAUUAUUGUCAAAAUAGAUUUGAUUGUUGUUUGCCUUGUUGUGUUUUGGGCUUCCUUGGUAACUAUGACUUCUUUUUUUUUAUUUUUUCUUGACAAUUACUUCUUUUUGAAAUGGUAAUGUCUAUCCUUUGCUUGCUCCACAAUUGCAUUUUGGAAACAAAUAACUUAUUUUGAUAUUUCAGGCUCACGUUGGAGGAAACUUUGCCUCAGAAUGAAUUGCACCUUGAGUCUCACUCAUAUUAGACUUUAAAAUUGGUGCCGGAAUGAGUUGAGAAUUAUGGGGCUUGGAGUAUGGAGGAAGUGUAUUUUGUGAGAAGGAUAUAAAUUUUGAAAGUUUGCAUGAAUUAGUUUCAUUGUGUUCUCCAGAAUUUAUGUGUUGCAAACUUAAUCCUCAAUGCAACAGUGUUGGGCAGUGGCACCAAAUGGGAGGUGUUUAGGUCAUGAGUAGAUUAAUGCCAUUAUGAAAAGGGCUCAUUGGAGUGAAUUUGCUUUCUUGAACUUUUGCGCUUCUGCCCUCCACCAUGUGACAAAGGAGAAACAAACCCCUUCACAUAUAAGUACCUUUAUCUUGGAUUUUUCAGCCUUCAGAACUGUGAGACAAAACAUUUAUGUUCAUUAUAAAUUACCCAUUCUUGGGUAUUCGGUUAUAGCAGCACAAAAGGGGCUAAGACACAUAUUAAAUGGUUUAGAAAUGCAUAAAUAGUACAAUAUGGCACUCCACCUUGAAAAGGACCUGAAAUUUGUUUGUAAGUGGAUGUCAGAAGAAAUGCAGCUUGUUAGCUUUUAUGAAGCAGUGUUGUAAGCAUUAUCUGAAAUGACAGGAAAAGUUAUAACAUCAGAUAUGAAAGAACGUGGCUUAUAGUACUGAGAUAACUGGUAGAUCUGUGAGUGUGUGUGCGCGUACAUAUUUGUGUAUUUUUAGAAGGCUUAAUUCUGCUGAGUGCAAUUUUCUCUGUUCAGCUUGUGAUUCUUAAAGAUGAAAUUACACACAAGCAAAAGUGAAAUUUGCCUUAUGCUCAAAAUGUUACUAAUAAUCAAUUGUGUUGAGGCAAAUUCCUAUGUUCAAUAAAACGUACAACAGAAGAAAAGACUGUAUAUAGAAAACCCUUCAUUUCUCAACAUUAAGUAAUCUAAUAAAACGUGCGUGAUUUUUUUAUAGAAAGUCUCCAUGAAAAGAAGACGCUAAGCAAAAGUUAUCUAUUUAGGUUAGGGGUUCGAGAAUAUAAAAUAAAAGGAAACAACUCAUCUAAAUAUGCCUGUGUACUCUAAUUGUUUCAUGUGUAACCUUGAUUUCUUGUUUCAGUUUAAAGAUAUCAAAUUUUAAGUUUCCAUUUUGCUUCCUGGAUAUAAAUGAUGCAAGAAAGAAAAAAAUUCUGAUUUAAAGAUUAGUUUUCCAAGAAAAGAAUCUAUACCUACA
rnacentral:lncRNA from 10 species